rnacentral:lncRNA from 1 species
UUUUUUAUUUUGUUUUUUUCAUGAAACAUUUUUUUACACCAUUUAUGAUGUGUUUAGAUUGGAUACUCUCUGAUAUUCUUUUACAGAAUAAAUUAAUUGACAGCAUUUCCAAGACAUUGUCUUAAGUGACAUGGAUCCCAUUAUAGUAAAUGUUAUGUUGAUACAGCAAUCGAAGAGGAUUCUCAAGAACGCCUCUUUUUGCUGUAUUGGAAUCUUUGUAAAAUCUCAGUGAUAGACAUCUCACUGACAUCAGGUGCUGUUGUGCUAAAAAUGUUAACAGGUAAAAUCUGUGGAAAAAUCUUUACAUUUGUUAUACUUUGUAUAAUAAUGAUAGAUGAAAUAGUAACAUAG